UACAGAGGUCUCAAGCGUUGUUCGGAUUCAUUGGGCGUAAAGGGUGCGUAGGCGGCGCGGUAAGUCGGGUGUGAAAUCUCGGGGCUUAACUCCGAAACUGCAUUCGAUACUGCGGUGCUUGAGGACUGGAGAGGAGACUGGAAUUUACGGUGUAGCAGUGAAAUGCGUAGAGAUCGUAAGGAAGACCAGUGGCGAAGGCGGGUCUCUGGACAGUUCCUGACGCUGAGGCACGAAGGUCAGGGGAGCAAACGGG
rnacentral:rRNA from 1 species